rnacentral:rRNA from 1 species
GAUGAACGCUAGCUACAGGCUUAACACAUGCAAGUCGAGGGGCAGCACAGGGUAGCAAUACUUGGGUGGCGACCGGCGCACGGGUGAGUAACGCGUAUGCAACUUACCUAUCAGAGGGGGAUAGCCCGGCGAAAGUCGGAUUAAUACCCCAUGAAACAGGGGGUCCCGCAUGGGAAUAUUUGUUAAAGAUUCAUCGCUGAUAGAUAGGCAUGCGUUCCAUUAGAUAGUUGGUGGGGUAACGGCCCACCAAGUCUGCGAUGGAUAGGGGUUCUGAGAGGAAGGUCCCCCACAUUGGUACUGAGACACGGACCAA